rnacentral:rRNA from 1 species
UACGUAGGGGGCUAGCGUUGUCCGGAAUCAUUGGGCGUAAAGAGCGUGUAGGCGGUCCGGUAAGUCCGUUGUGAAAGUCAGGGGCUCAACCCUUGAAUGCCGGCGGAUACUGUCGGGCUAGAGUCCGGAAGAGGCAAGUGGAAUUCCCGGUGUAGCGGUGAAAUGCGCAGAUAUCAGGAAGAACACCCGUGGCGAAGGCGGCUCUCUGGGACGGUACUGACGCUGAGACGCGAAAGCGUGGGGAGCGAACAGG